rnacentral:tRNA from 1 species
GCCUGGGUGGCUCAGUUGGUUAAGUGUCUGACUUCGGCUCAGGUCACGAUCUCACAGUGGGUUCGAGCCCCGCACUGGGCU